GGUGGCGGGUCACUUGGCUCACACGUCAAUGAAAAACGCAGCUAGAUGCAAAAAUUAGUGUGAAUUGCAGGACACAUUGUUCUCCAAAACGUUGAAUACACCUUGCGGCCCCGGGUUCCUCCCGGGGCUCUAUGUGACUGAGGGUCGCUUGAAUGUCAAUCACCCGUGGGUCCCCCCCUGUGGCGCAGCUGGGGCUGUUGCAAGCGCCCUGUUCCCUUCAGCCCCCUAACAUCAGACCCCAAUCAAUAUUGUUGCAGGAUCCCUGGACCUGGUGAGUAGCCUUGUGUCCAGAGUAUCCUGGCCUCUCCAUUUCCCCUUUGUGGGGUAAUGCUGGCAAGGUGCCAGGUGUGUCCGGGGAUAGUGUCUAAAACCCAUCACACUUCCUCCGUGGCAGCAGGCCAUGCUGCAUGUGGCCGUCUGUGGUGUCCCACGGCUGCCUGUGUGGGGUGUCCCUGGAAUGCAAAACUCAUGUCUGUGUCUGGUGGGCAACCUCUCCACAGGUGGGCUUUGGCACUGAUUGAGACAGCGCACACACCUCAAGCUGGGUGCAGGUAUGGGGCAAGUCCCACAGCCUUGGGAUGCCUAAAUUUUGGCUCUCGACUACGAACUCAGAUCAGAUGUGGCGACCCGCUGAAUUUAAGCAUAUUACUAAGUGGAAGAAAAUAAACUAACCAGAAUUCUCUCAGUCAUGGGAGAGCAGAGGAAAGAGCCCAGCACAAAAUCCCUGCCAUAUCAGUGAAACAGUUGACUGAGGUGGACUGUCCUCAGUUUGCCCUGAAGGACGCCCACAAAGGGCAUCAGAGGUCUUUGGUGAUGUCAGCUACCCACUUGACCCAUCAACACGGACCAAGCAGUCUAACAUAUGUGCAAGUCGCAGGGUCAAAUCAAACCCUGUGGCAAAAUAAAAGUGAGGGCAGGCAUGCGCCGGCUUUGGUGGGAUCCUGUCACAGCAUCACAGUGGUUGCACCACAGGCCUGUCUCACCCACUCUGGUGUGGACGUAGACCAUGAGCGUGUGUGAUAGGACCCGAAAGGUGGUGAACUAUGCCUGGGCAGGGUAAAGCCAGAGGAAACUCUUUUGAAUGUCCGUAGUGUUCCUGAUGUGCAAAUCAGUCAUCCGACCUGAGUAUUGGCGGAAAGACUAAAAUAAACCACCUGGUAGCUGGUUCAUGUUGAAGGUUUCAUUUGGAUAUCUGGCACUUGAAAACCCCAGUUUCUUCUGGUAAAGCUAAUGAUUAGAAGUCUUGGGGCCGAAACAAUCUCAACCAUUAAAUGGAUAAGAAGCCUGGCUCUCUGGCGUGAAUCCGGGCAUUGAAUGGGAGUGCUAAGUGGGCCUCUUUUGGUCAGCAGAAAUGAAGUUGCAGGAUGAAUGGAAUGUUCUGUUAAGGAACCUGAUGCCGACGCUCAUCUGACCCCAGAAAAGCUGUUGGUUGAUAUAGACAGCAGGACGGUGGCAUGGAAGUUGGAAUCCACUAGUGAGUGUGUAGCAACCCACCUGCCAAAUCACCUAACCCUGAAAAUGGAUGGCACUGGAGUGUCGGCCGAAACCCAGCCACUGCCUGUGCUGAGAGCCACAAUGAGUAGAAGGUCCAGUGUGGUGCGAAUGAAAGGGCAAGGGCCCGGGUGAAGCCACUGCAGCUGCAUUUCUUGGUGGUAGUAUCAAAUAUGGAGAACCUUGAAGGCCGAAGUGGAGAAGGGUUCCUAGUGAACAGCUGUUGAACAUGGGUCAGUCAGUCCUAAAAUAUGGGGGAGCGCUGUUCGGAAGGGACGGGUGAUGACCUCUGUUGUCCUCUGAUGAUCGAAAGGGAGUCGAAUUCAGAUCCCUGAACCAAGAGUAACGGAGAUGGGCUCCUUUUGCUGCUCUUUGAAAAUCCAGGGUUGAUGGUAUAAAUCUCACACCGGCCCGUACCUAUAUCUCCAGCAGGUCUCCAAGGUGAACAUCCUCUGGCAUGUUGGAACAAUAUAGGUAAGGGAAGUCAGAUCUAUAACUUUGGGAUAAGGAUUGGCUCUAUGGGCUGGGUUGCUUGGGCUGGGGCAAAAAGCAGGGCUGGGCAUGUGCCCAAGCUGGAUGUGGUGACUCCCCCGUGGGCAGCUCCACCUCUGGAUGCUAGCAGGGCCCUUCAUGUAGAUCGCCCCAGCUGUGGUGGUCACCUCUGUUCCCCACCCGGGCUUCAUGGCUGAUGUUCUGCCUCAGCUAACGCCUAGCAGCUGACUUAGAACUGGUACAGACCAGGGGAAUCAGAGUAAUUAAAACAAAGCAUUGCAUUGCGAAAGCCUGCAGCGGGUGUUGAUGCAAUGUGAUUUCUAAUCAGUGCUCAAGAUGUUAAAGUGAAGAAAUUCAAUAAAGAGUGGGCAAACAGUGGGAGUAACUAUGACUGUCUUAAGGCAGAUAAAUGCCUCAUCAUCUAAUUAGUGAUGUACAUGAAUGGAUGAAUGAGAUCCCCACUGUCCCUACCUACUAUCUAGCCAAAACCACAGACAAGGGAACAGGCUGGACAGAAUCUGUGGAGAAAGAAGACCCAGAUAGCUUGACUCAAGUCCUGGACCUAAGCACCGGCGCAUUCCUGGCACGACCUACUCCGGGGACAGUGGCAGGUGGGGAGUUUGAGUAGGACACCUGUCAAACGAUAACGCAGGUCUCCUAAGGUGAGCUCAGAGAGAACAGAAUCCUCCUCUGAAGUAGAUGGACCAAAACUUGCUUGAUCUCAACUUUCAGUAUAAAUACAGACCAUGAAAGCAGAGCCUCAAAAUAUUUCUGACUUUUUGGGUUUCAAGCAGGUGGUGUCGGAAAAGUUACCACAUGGACAACUGGUUUGUGACUGCCAAGCAUUCAUAGCAAUAUUGCUUUUUGAUCCUUCAAUGUCAACUCUUCCUAUCAUUGUGAAGCAGAAUUCACCAAGCAUUGGAUUGUUUACCCACUAAUAAGUAAUGUGAUCUGGGUAUAAACCCUUGUGAGACAGGUCAGUUUUACUCUACUGAUGAUGUGCUGCUGCAAUAGUAAUCCAUACCAAUAUGAGAGGAACCACUGGUUCAGACAUUUGGUGUAUGUGCUUGUCUGAGGAGCCAAUGGGGUGAAGCUACCAUCUGUGGGAUUAUGACUGAACACCUCUAAGUCAAAAUCCUCCCUAAACUGUAUUGAUACCGCAGCGCUCUGUAGCCUCACUUGGCCUAAGAUAGCCAGCCUUUGGGACCAGUGUGUGGAGCUGCUUUCCUCAGAGCUUGAGUGUCCCCUUCCCUCACCUGUAGUGAGUGCAGCACAUGCUCGUGGGGAACCUGGUGCUAAAUCAUUCGUCGAUGACCUGAUUCUGUGUCAAGGUUCGUAAGUAGCAGAGCAACUACCUCUCUGCAAUCUAAUAAGUCAUUUUCUGAGCC
rnacentral:rRNA from 1 species